GAUGGCUGGGAAGGUGGCGCUGCUCCUGUGGGCCCAGAUCCUAGGCCUUGCUGGUGCCCAGACCACCCAGCUCCUGGUGGAGCCCCCCUGGAGGCCGGCGGUGCCGUGGGACUGGGUGACACUGACCUGCCAGGGCUCGGGGACUGCUGGUGACACC